GACGAACGCUGGCGGCGUGCUUAACACAUGCAAGUCGAACGGAAAGGCCCUGCUUGCCGGGUACUCGAGUGGCGAACGGGUGAGUAACACGUGGGUGAUCUGCCCUGCACUUCGGGAUAAGCCUGGGAAACUGGGUCUAAUACCGGAUAGGAGCCAUUUUUAGUGUGAUGGUUGGAAAGUUUUUUCGGUGUAGGAUGAGCUCGCGGCCUAUCAGCUUGUUGGUGGGGUAAUGGCCUACCAAGGCGGCGACGGGUAGCCGGCCUGAGAGGGUGGACGGCCACAUUGGGACUGAGAUACGGCCCAGACUCCUACGGGAGGCAGCAGUGGGGAAUAUUGCACAAUGGGCGCAAGCCUGAUGCAGCGACGCCGCGUGGGGGAUGACGGCCUUCGGGUUGGAAACUCCUUUCGCUAGGGACGAAGCUUUUUGUGACGGUACCUAGAUAAGAAGCACCGGCUAACUACGUA
rnacentral:rRNA from 1 species